rfam:Fusarium oxysporum f. sp. raphani 54005 unplaced genomic scaffold supercont1.72, whole genome shotgun sequence.
UCCGGUGUGGUGUAUCGGUUAUCAUUCCGCGUUUUCAUUACGAAAUAUCUACCGCGGCGAGGAGGGUUCGACUCCCUCCAUCGGAG